UGGGGAAUAUUGGACAAUGGGCGAAAGCCUGAUCCAGCCAUGCCGCGUGAGUGAUGAAGGCCCUAGGGUUGUAAAGCUCUUUUACCUGGGAAGAUAAUGACUGUACCAGGAGAAUAAGCCCCGGCUAACUUCGUG
rnacentral:rRNA from 1 species